rnacentral:lncRNA from 1 species
AAAAGAGAUUGACAAUUUUGAAUGAUAUUUCCGAACUCAGUUGCAUCAUGAUUUGUCGAUAAGAAAUUAUCAACAACCUUUUUCGCAUCCAUCUCAAAAUCCAUAGGACCAAGAUUAAGCUCGUGAACCCAUUCUAGAGCAGAUAAUAAACCAAGAGCUUCUCCUAUAUGAACUUCACAUAUCGGACUAAACCAUUCAGUUUUAGCUAAGACAAACGUACCUGUGUCAUCUCUUAUACAUAUUCCUAUACCAACCUUGUUUAAGUGCUUAGAGAAAGAGGCAUCGAU